AACGAACGCUGGCGGCAUGCCUAACACAUGCAAGUCGAGCGAGACCUUCGGGUCUAGCGGUGGACGGGUGAGUAACGCGUGGGAACGUGCCCUUUUCUACGGAAUAGCCUCGGGAAACUGAGCGUAAUACCGUAUACUCCCUCUGGGGGAAAGAUUUAUCGGAGAAGGAUCGGCCCGCGUUGGAUUAGGUAGUUGGUGGGGUAAUGGCCUACCAAGCCUACGAUCCAUAGCUGGUGUGAGAGGAUGAUCAGCCACACUGGGACUGAGACACGGCCCAGACUCCUACGGGAGGCAGGCGUGGGGAAUCUUAGACAAUGGGGGCAACCCUGAUCUAGCCAUGCCGCGUGAGUGAUGAAGGACUUAGGGUUGUAAAGCUCUUUAAGCUGCGAAGAUAAUGACGGUACCAGAAGAAGAAGCCCCGGCUAACUCCGUG
rnacentral:rRNA from 1 species